CCUACGGGAGGCAGCAGUGAGGCAUCUUGGUCAAUGGCCGCAGGGCUGAACCAGCCAAGUCGCGUGAGGGAUGACGGUCCUAUGGAUUGUACACCUCUUUUUUCCUUUCUCACAGGGCGCCACGUGUGGCGUUUUGCGAGUACCUGAAGAAAAAGCAUCGGCUAACUCCGUGCCAGCAGCCGCGGUAAUACGGAGGAUGCGAGCGUUAUCCGGAUUUAUUGGGUUUAAAGGGUGCGCAGGCGGAAUGUCAAGUCAGCGGUAAAAUUUCGGGGCUCAACCCCGUCGUGCCGUUGAAACUGGCGUUCUUGAGUGAGCGAGAAGUAUGCGGAAUGCGUGGUGUAGCGGUGAAAUGCAUAGAUAUCACGCAGAAAUCCGAUUGCGAAGGCAGCAUACCGGCGCUCAACUGACGCUCAUGCACGAAAGCGUGGGUAUCGAACAGGAUGAGAUAACCGAGUAGUC
rnacentral:rRNA from 1 species